GGUUCGAUUAUGAAAACCAGAUUGAACGCUGGCGGGAUGCUUUACACAUGCAAGUCGAACGGCACAGCACGGACUGGUCUGGUGGCGAGUGGCGAACGGGUGAGUAAUGCUGUCAGACCAGUACCUGGUAACGGCAGGAUAACUACGCGAAAGCGUAGCUAAUACCACAUACGCCCUUCGAAGAGAAAGCGGGGGACCUUCGGGCCUCGCACUAUUAGAGCGGCCGAUAUCGGAUUAGCUGGUUGGUGGAGUAACGGCUCGCAGGCGACGAUCCGUAGCUGGUUUGAGAGGACGACCAGCCACACUGGGACCCAGACACGGCCCAGACUCCUACGGAGAGGCAGCAGUGGGAAUUUUGGACAAUGGAAACCUGAUCCAGCCAUCCCGCGUGUACGAUGAAGGCCUUCAGGUUAAAGCCUUUGGCAGGAAAGAAACGGCACAGGAUAAUGCCCCCGUGCAGCUGACAGCCUGCAGAAUAAGCACCGCUAACUACGUGCCAGCAGCCGCAGUAAUACGUAGGGUGCAAGCGUUAAUCGGAAUUACUGGGCGUAAAGCGUGCGCAGGCGGUUCGUAAAGAAAGAUGUGAAAUCCCAGAGCUUAACGGAACUGCAUUUUUAACCGCGACUGCGAAGAGUGUGUCAGAGGGAGGUGGAAUUCGCGAUGUAGCGAUGAAAUGCGUAGAUAUGCGGAGGAACACCGAUGGCGAAGCCGGCCUCCUGGGAUACUGACGCUCAUGCACGAAAGCAUUGGGAGCAAACAGGAUUAGAUACCCUGGUAGUCCAUACAAAGCGAUGUCAACUAGCUGUUGGGGCCUUCGGGCCUUGGUAGCUGGCUAACGCGUGAAGUUGACCGCACAGGAAAUACAGUCGCAAGAUUCAAAACUCAAAGAUUGACGGGGACCCGCACAAGCAGUGGAUGAUGUGGAUUAAUUCGAUGCAACGCGAAAACCUUACUGCCGCAGGCAUGUCUGGAAUCGAAGAGAUUUGGGAGUGCUCGCAAGAGAACCGGAACACAGGUGCUGCAUGGCUGUCAAUCCAGCUCGUGUCGUGAAUCGUGGGUUAAGUCCCGCAACAAGCCGCAGCCAUGUCAUUAGUUGCUACGAAAGAGGCACUCUAGCUAGGAACACCGGUGACAGACCGGAGGAAGGUGGGGAUGACGUCAAGUCCUCCAUGGCCCACUUAUGGGUAGAACUACGCGUCAUACAAUGGUCGGGACAGAGGGUCGCCAACCCGCGAGGGGGAGCCAAUCCAGAAACCCGAUCAUGGUCCGGAUCAUGAUGCAACUGGAAAGCUGCGUGAAGUCGGAAUCGCUAGUAAUCGCGGAUCAGCAUGUCGCGGUGAAUACGUUUGGUCUUGUACACACCGCCGUCACACCAUGGGGGAGUGGGUUUUACCAGAAGUAGUUGGCCUAACCGUAAGGAGGGCGAUUACACAGUAGAGGAUUCAUGACUGGGGUGAAGUCGUAACAAGGUAG
rnacentral:rRNA from 1 species